rnacentral:rRNA from 1 species
GACGAACGCUGGCGGCGUGCUUAACACAUGCAAGUCGAACGAUGAAGCCCUUCGGGGUGGAUUAGUGGCGAACGGGUGAGUAACACGUGGGCAAUCUGCCCUUCACUCUGGGACAAGCCCUGGAAACGGGGUCUAAUACCGGAUAACACUCCUCAGGGCAUCUUGAGGGGUUAAAAGCUCCGGCGGUGAAGGAUGAGCCCGCGGCCUAUCAGCUUGUUGGUGGGGUAAUGGCCUACCAAGGCGACGACGGGUAGCCGGCCUGAGAGGGCGACCGGCCACCACUGGGACUGAGACACGGCCCAGACUCCUACGGGAGGCAGCAGGUGGGGAAGUAUUGCACAAUGGGGCGAAAAGCCUGAUGCAGCGACGCCGCGUGAGGGAUGACGGCCUC